rnacentral:rRNA from 1 species
AAUCGAACCCGGAGAUAGCUGGUUCUCCCCGAAAUAGCUUUAGGGCUAGCGUUGGAAAGAACCUUAGUGAAGGUAGAGCACUGAAUGUGUGAUGGCCCCAUCCCGGGGUACUGAAUACAAUCAAACUGCGAAUGUCAUUAAGGAUGUCCGGCAGUCAGACUGUGAGUGAUAAGGUCCAUGGUCAAGAGGGAAACAGCCCAGACCGCCAGUUAAGGUCCCAAAAUACAGGCUAAGUGGAAAAGGAUGUGGGGAUGCCCAGACAACUAGGAGGUUGGCUCAGAAGCAGCCAUCCUUUAAAGAGUGCGUAACAGCUCACUAGUCGAGUGACCCUGCGCCGAAAAUGUACCGGGGCUAAGCCUGAUACCGAAACUGCGGAUUGUAGGAAACUAUAGUGGUAGGGGAGCGUUGUAUACGAGCAGAAGCCGUACCGUGAGGAGCGGUGGAUUGUAUAGAAGUGAGAAUGCCGGUGUGAGUAGCGAGAUGUAGGUGAGAAUCCUACACACCGAAAGCCCAAGGAUUCCAGGGGAAGGUUCGUCCGCCCUGGGUAAGUCGGGACCUAACGCGAGGCCGAAAGGCGUAGUGGAUGGAAAGCAGGCGAAAGAUUCCUGCACCCGUAUAUGGAGCGAAGGAGUGACGGAGACGGAUAGUGUGACCCUCUUAAUGGAUUGAGGGCGAAGCGAAGCGGCUGGUUACCAGGCAAAUCCGGUAACCAAAAGGCUAGAGCGUGACAGGUAAGCGAAAUCUUCGGAAAGUAGCGAAGCACAUGAUGACGGCUUCCAGGAAAAGCUUCUGGCAAUGCAUAUGCGGCCCGUACCAAAACCGACACAGGUGGGCAGGGAGAGAAUCCCGAGGUGAGCGAGAGAACUGUUGCCAAGGAACUCGGCAAAAUGACUCCGUAAGUUAGCGAGAAGGAGUGCUUAAGCAAUUAAGCCGCAGUGAAGAGGCCCAAGCGACUGUUUAACUAAAACACAGCUCUCUGCGAAGUCGCAAGACGAAGUAUAGGGGGUGACACCUGCCCGGUGCUGGAAGGUUAAGAGGAUCUGUUAAGAGCGAUCUGAAGCAGUGAUCCGAAGCCCCAGUGAACGGCGGCCGUAACUAUAACGGUCCUAAGGUAGCGAAAUUCCUUGUCAGGUAAGUUCUGACCCGCACGAAAGGUGUAACGAUUUGGGCGCUGUCUCGGCAGCAGACUCGGUGAAAUCUUAGUACCUGUGAAAAUGCAGGUUACCCGCAACUAGACGGAAAGACCCCAUGGAGCUUUACUGCAGCCUGAUAUUGAAUUCUGGUCAUACAUGUACAGGAUAGGUGGGAGACAAAGAGACGUGCACGCCAGUGUACGAGGAGUCGCCGUUGGGAUACCACUCUUGUGUGACCGGGGUUCUAACCUGGUAUCGAGAACAGGUACGGGGAGAGUGUCAGGUGGGCAGUUUGACUGGGGCGGUCGCCUCCCAAAGAGUAACGGAGGCGCCCAAAGGUUCCCUCAGAAUGGUUGGAAAUCAUUCGCAGAGUGUAAAGGCACAAGGGAGCUUGACUGCGAGACCUACAAGUCGAGCAGGGACGAAAGUCGGGCUUAGUGAUCCGGUGGUUCCGCAUGGAAGGGCCAUCGCUCAACGGAUAAAAGCUACCCUGGGGAUAACAGGCUGAUCUCCCCCAAGAGUCCACAUCGACGGGGAGGUUUGGCACCUCGAUGUCGGCUCAUCGCAUCCUGGGGCUGUAGUCGGUCCCAAGGGUUGGGCUGUUCGCCCAUUAAAGCGGUACGCGAGCUGGGUUCAGAACGUCGUGAGACAGUUCGGUCCCUAUCCGUCGCGGGCGCAGGAAAUUUGAGAGGAGCUGUCCUUAGUACGAGAGGACCGGGAUGGACGCACCGCUGGUGUACCAGUUGUUCUGCCAAGGGCAUCGCUGGGUAGCUAUGUGCGGACGGGAUAAGUGCUGAAAGCAUCUAAGCAUGAAGCCCCCCUCAAGAUGAGAUUUCCCAUUCCGCAAGGAAGUAAGAUCCCUGAAAGAUGAUCAGGUUGA